rnacentral:lncRNA from 1 species
AAUAGGUUUUAGUAGAGUCAAAACUCUAUGAGCGCAAAUUACCCAAUCAAUUAAUAUCCUUCUUCCCUCUUCAGCACCACACUAUCCUUAUCUGAAUUACAGACAAAACUAACCCCAAAAGCAUGUCACAAAAAAUGCAACAUAUCACUACAAUUAAAAGCACGAAUUACCCAAAUAAUCAAGACCCAUGUGUCCUCUUCAACACCUUCACUAUAAAAUCCAACAAACCGCUUGUAUUAACCCAGAAAAUAUGACAAUGAUAACUUGCAAUAAAAAUUCAGAUUCAUAACAAGCACCAAAACACACCAAGAUAUAAAUGGAAAAAAGAAUAGAAAAAGAAAACCGUUUUCUUUUCAACCAGUAGUUAAAAAUAAAAUCCAAACGAAAUAUUAAAUCCUCAACAUAGAAAAAUCAAAUAGCAAACGAAAACUUGCCUGAGAUCGACAUGUCUCUAUCUUCCGGACAAGAAAGCGAAUUCUCGUUUGAAAUUGAUUUUUUCUUGGAUCCCAUCUUUCUCACAGGCUUUCAAAUGCCAUCCGAGACUCUCUAAUCCAUUUGCGGUGUGUGAUUUUAUAUUUAUGAACCUAUGUAUAUGUAGAUAUGACUAUUGGCUUAGAUGGGGGAAUUGUGUGAAUUACGAUUCAAUUAAUGAAUGAAAAAUGGGAUUUUUGUGAGAGAUCUGGGUCCAAUGUGAGGAAGGACAACACCGAUUAGGCUUCCUCUUCUAUCCUUCUGAGUCUGCAUCUGCUUUUAUGAAAAAUACAAAUUGCUUGUAAAAUGGCUUAUGCCGUGAGAACUGACGCUUGAAAACAAAACUUAAUUUCUAAAUCAAUCUCUUAACCUUACUACAAAUAAAAAAAUCACUUUUAUCAAAAUAACGGACUUACUUAUUUUUAGAACUAUUUCAUGAAAAAGAAUGCUUGAAGUGCUUAUGCUGGAAAAUUUUAAAAAUUGAUAAAAAGUAGAUG